CUCAAUAUACUUCAUUACAUAACAUACUGUAAUCUCUUACAUUACAUCAUAGUACAAUUGUCAUGUCCACAAUCUAACUAUUACAUAAACAUACUUCAAAACUCUGGCUAACCUCCUGGUCUACCCUGUACCUGCACAUCUGGGGUUAGGGGAGAGGGGUGAGCUACAAAGCCCAGUGAGCAGAAUAGUGAAAUUAUAUAUUAAAAUUUCAUGCUUUCAUGAAAUGCAACACAUCACAACAAAUCACAUCUCGGAUGGUAUUGUCACCAAUAGUCCUCUACAUAGUCCAACUGUGCCGGGACGUAGAAUGGGUACAACCGGUCUUUCUCUUAACAUAACAUAUCAUACAUACCAAUGUGCCAGGGACAUAGAAUGGGUACAACCUGGACUUUCUCUUACAUCGUGCCAGGGACGUAGAAUGGGUACAACCUGGACUUCCAUACUAUCUCAUGCCGUAACAUCAUCAUAUCAUAUGAGGACUAAAGGAUCAUCCAAUAACCACUCCACAUCAACAUCAUAAAUGCAAUGCAACAUAUUCGUGAAUACUAAUGCAAACAACCUACUAUAUCUCAUGGCAUUCAUGAUGCAUGGGUCAUGCUCAAAAUUCAUAUUUCAUUUAUUUUAAAACUUAAGGUUUAUUCCACUCACCUCUGGCUAACUCUGACAAACUCUGUAGCAGCUGGCUCACUGCUGGGGUCCUCGGUUCCUCGGGUCCGAACCU
rnacentral:lncRNA from 1 species